UUGAACAUGGGUCUGCCUUGGCCAGCACUCCUCCUGAGCACUGUUCUCCUGAGUCUUGCAUGCCAGGGGACUGACUGGGAAUCCGACAGGAAUUUUAUUUCAGCCGCUGGGCCUCUGACAAAGGGCUUAGUGCCUAACCUGAGCCAUCCGCUGGGAACCCAGGGCUCUGAUUUGGGAGCUGGUAGCAAGGCCAUCUCCACCUGCCAGCAGCCGUUGCCGUCUCUCUUACCGCGGUAUUUCCAGAGUCUUCACGCCAGUCAGGUCACCCACUACAAAGUGCUUCUGUCAUGGGCACAGCUUCUCCCAACAGGAAGCUCCAAGAAUCCAGACCAGGAAGCCGUGCGGUGCUACCGCCAACUCCUGCAGACCCUCAAGGCUGCCCAGCUUCAGCCCAUGGUGGUCCUGUGCCACCAGGCCCCACCCACCAGCGGCACCUUCCAAAGAGACCGGGACUUCGCUGACCUCUUUGCCGACUAUGCCGCAUUCGCCUUCCAGGCCUUUGGGGACCUUGUUGAGAUCUGGUUCACCUUCAGUGAUGUGGAGAAAGCUAUCGUGGGUCUUCCCCACCAGGCUUCGAAAGCCUCUGCUCUCCAGACCCUCAGCAGUGCCCACAGGAAAGCCUUCCAAGUGUACCACAGCAAGUACUCUUCUCAGGGAGGAAGACUCUCUGUGGUCCUGAAGGCUGAAGAUAUCCCUGAGCUUCUGCGAGCCCCAUCCUCGACUGCACUCACCAAGGACUCAGUUGACUUCCUCUCUGUUGAUUUGACUUAUGAAUGUCAAAGUGUGGCGACUCUACCACAGAAGCUGAGUGAACUGCAGAACAUUAAGCCCAGAAUGAAAGUUUUCAUUUAUACCCUAAAACUUCAGGACUGCCCAUCCACAGGGAAGAGCCCCUCCUCACUGCUCUUCAGCCUGAUUGAAGCCAUAAAUAAAGACCAAGUACAGACUGUUGGGUUCGACAUCAGUGCGUUCCUGAGCUGUCCAUCCAGUUCUGAGGAGAGCCCGUCUUGUUCUCUAACUGACAGCCUGGCCUUUCAGAUUGAGCAGCAGCAGGAGAGAGCAGUUGUGCCCUCUCCCCUUCUAUCAGCCUACCAGAGAGUCUGGGCAGCCUUUGCCAACCAGUCUAGGGAGGAAAGGGAUGCCUUCCUGCAGGAUACAUUUCCAGAAGGGUUCCUCUGGGGCGUAUCUACCGGAGCUUUUAAUGUGGAAGGAGGUUGGGCCGAAGGCAACAGAGGGCCGAGCAUCUGGGACCACUACAGUAACCUGAAUGCUGCCAAGGGCCAAGCGACAGCAAAGGUGGCCAGUGACAGCUACCACAAACCAGUCUCUGAUGUCGCCCUGCUCCGAGGCCUCAGGGUUGGGGUGUACAAAUUCUCCAUCUCCUGGUCCCGGCUGUUCUCCACGGGGCGGAAGAGCAGCCCCAACCUCCAGGGUGUCGCCUACUACAACAGACUGAUCGACAGCCUGCUGGACUCGAACAUCGAGCCCAUGGUGACACUGUUCCACUGGGACCUGCCUCAGGCCCUUCAGGAUCAAGGCGGGUGGCAGAACGAGAGUGUGGUGGACGCCUUCCUGGACUACGCAGCCUUCUGCUUCUCCACUUUCGGGGACCGUGUAAAGCUGUGGGUGACCUUCCACGAGCCGUGGGUGAUAAGCUAUGCAGGCUACGGCACUGGGCAGCACGCACCAGCCAUCUCGGACCCAGGAGUGGCUUCUUUUAAGGUGGCUCACUUGAUCCUCAAGGCACAUGCCAGAGCUUGGCAUCAUUACGACCUUCACUAUCGCCAACAGCAGCAGGGACGCGUGGGCAUUGUGCUCAAUUCAGACUGGGCAGAACCCCUGGAUGGGCAGAGCCCCCAGGACCUUGCUGCCGCUGAGCGCUUCCUGCACUUCAUGCUGGGCUGGUUUGCACACCCCAUCUUUGUGGAUGGAGACUACCCCACCGUCCUUCGGGCCCAGAUCCAGCAGAUAAACCAGCAGUGUGGUGGUCCUCUGGCCCAGCUCCCGAAGUUCACUGCAGCGGAGAAGCAGCUCCUGAAAGGCUCUGCAGACUUCCUUGGUCUGUCUCAUUACACGUCCCGCCUGGUCAGCAAGGCUGGGCCGCAGACCUGCGUCUCCAGCUAUGAUAACAUCGGAGGAUUCUCCCAGCACGUGGACCCCACGUGGCCCCAGACUGCAUCUCCCUGGAUCCGGGUGGUGCCCUGGGGCAUAAGGAGGCUGCUUCAGUUUGCUUCCAUGGAGUACACGAAAGGAAGAGUUCCAAUCUUCUUGGCUGGGAAUGGCAUGCCGGUCGGGGAAGGAGCCGAUCUCCUUGACGACACAGUGAGGGUGAACUACUUCAACCUGUACAUCAACGAGGUGCUCAAGGCUGUCAAGGAGGAUUUGGUGGACGUCCGUUCAUACAUUGCUCGUUCUCUCGUUGAUGGCUUCGAAGGACCCUCAGGUUACAGCCAGAGGUUCGGGCUGUACCAUGUUAACUUUAAUGACAGCAGCCGGCCAAGGACUGCCAGGAAAUCUGCCUACUUCUUCACCAGUGUCAUAGAAAAGAACGGUUUCUCUGCCAAGAAAGCAAGAAGAAGCCCUCUGCCUCUGAAAGCAGACCUUGCCUCCAGAGCCACACCCCUCUUCAGCUUCCCAUCUGAGGUGCCCUCCAAGGCUAAAAUAGUGUGGGAGAAGUUCUCCAAUCAGCCCAAGUUUGAAAGAGAUUUGUUCUAUCAUGGCACAUUCCGGGAUGACUUCCUAUGGGGCGUGUCCUCUUCAGCCUAUCAAAUCGAAGGAGGCUGGGAUGCUGAUGGCAAAGGCCCCAGCAUCUGGGACAAUUUCACCCAUACCCCGGGGAACAAUGUCAAAGGCAAUGCCACCGGAGAUAUAGCAUGUGACAGCUAUCACCAACUGGAUGCCGACCUAAAUAUUCUUCGCACCCUGAAGGUCAAGGCCUAUAGGUUCUCUAUCUCCUGGUCUCGGAUUUUCCCAACAGGAAGAAACACUUCCGUCAACAAUCAUGGUGUUAAUUAUUACAACAGGCUGAUUGACGGCUUGGUGGAGAGCAACAUCUUCCCCAUGGUGACGCUGUUUCACUGGGACCUGCCCCAGGCCCUCCAGGAUAUUGGAGGUUGGGAGAACCCUUCUUUGAUUGACUUGUUCAACAGCUAUGCUGACUUCUGUUUUAAGACCUUUGGUGACAGAGUCAAGUUCUGGAUGACCUUUAAUGAGCCAUUGUAUCUGGUGCUGUUGGGCUAUAGUUCAGGGGUGUUUCCCCCAAAUGUGCAGGACCCUGGCUGGGCACCUUACAGGGUCAGCCAUGUAAUCAUCAAGGCUCAUGCCAGAGUCUACCAUACUUAUGAUGAGAAAUACAGGCAGGAGCAGAAGGGGGUCAUUUCACUGAGCCUCAAUACUCACUGGGUGGAACCCAAGGACCCAGGGCUCCAAAGAGAUGUGGAAGCUGCCGACCGGAUGCUGCAGUUUUCCCUGGGCUGGUUUGCCCACCCCAUUUUUAGGAACGGGGACUAUCCAGAUGUCAUGAAAUGGAAUGUGGGGAACAGGAGUGAACUACAGCGCCUGGCUGAGUCCCGCCUGCCCAGCUUCACAGAGGAGGAGAAGGGCUACAUCAGGGGUACCGCUGACGUCUUUUGCCUCAACACCUACUCAUCUGUGUAUGUACAGCAUAACACUCCUAGGCUGAACCCACCCAACUAUGAUGAUGACCGGGAGCUGACGGUCAGCGAUAUGACCUCUUCGUCCAUCUCCACGGUAGUGCACGCGGCCGUGCCCUGGGGGAUGCGGAGGCUGCUGAACUGGAUCAAGGAAGAGUAUGGCAACAUUCCCAUUUACAUCACUGAGAAUGGACAGGGGCUGGACAGUCCCACGCUGGAUGACACAGCGAGGAUAUUCUACCACAAAACCUAUAUCAACGAGGCUCUGAAAGCCUAUAGGCUGGAUGGUGUGGACCUUCGAGGGUACUCUGCCUGGUCACUGAUGGACAACUUUGAGUGGCUGUCGGGCUACACGGUCAAGUUUGGAUUGUAUCAUGUUGACUUUGACCGUGCGGACAGGCCUCGGACAGCAAGAGCCUCAGCCAGAAACUAUGCAGACAUCAUCACCAACAACGGCAUGCCCCUGGCCAAGGAGGACGAGUUCCUGUAUGGAGAGUUCCCCAAGGGCUUCAUCUGGAGUGCGGCAUCUGCUGCAUAUCAGGUUGAAGGUGCGUGGAGAGCAGACGGCAAAGGGCUCAGUAUUUGGGACACGUUUUCCCACACACCACUGCGGGUCUCAAACAACGACAACGGAGAUGUGGCGUGUGACAGUUACCACAAGAUUGCGGAGGAUGUGGUGGCCCUUCAGAGCCUGCGUGUGUCCCACUAUCGCUUCUCCAUCUCCUGGUCCAGAGUCCUCCCAGAUGGAACCACCAAGUUCAUCAAUGAAGCGGGCCUCAACUACUAUGUCCGCUUCAUAGACGCACUGCUGGCGGCCAGCAUCACUCCACAGGUGACCAUGUAUCACUGGGACCUGCCCCAGGCACUUCAAGACAUCGGGGGCUGGGAGAACGAGACAAUCGUGCAGCUGUUUAAGGAGUAUGCGGAUGUGCUCUUCCAGAGGCUAGGGGACAAGGUGAAGUUUUGGAUCACACUGAAUGAGCCCUUCGUCAUUGCUGCCCACGGCUAUGGCAGUGGAGUGUCUGCUCCAGGGAUCUCCUUCAGGCCUGGCACUGCUCCAUACACUGCUGGUCACAACCUAAUAAAGGCUCAUGCGGAGGCUUGGCAUCUCUACAACGACAAAUACAGAGGCAGCCAGGGAGGCGUGAUCUCCAUCACUAUCAGCAGUGACUGGGCUGAGCCCAGGGAUCCCUCCAAGCAGGAGGACGUGGAGGCCGCCAGGAGAUACGUCCAGUUUAUGGGAGGCUGGUUUGCACACCCCAUCUUCAAUAACGGAGAUUACCCGGAGGUGAUGAAGACGCGGAUCCUUGAGAGGAGCCUGGCGGCAGGCCUCAACAAAUCCAGGCUCCCAGAAUUUACAGAGGCUGAGAAGAAGAGGAUCAAGGGCACCUUUGACUUUUUCGGGUUCAACCACUACACCACCGUGCUGGCAUACAACCUCAACUACCCUGCGGCCAUCUCUUCCUUUGAUGCCGACAGGGGAGUAGCCUCCAUUGCAGACAGCUCUUGGCCAGAGUCCGGCUCCUUCUGGCUGAAGGUGACCCCUUUUGGCUUCCGGAGGAUCUUGAACUGGCUGAAGGAGGAAUACAACAACCCUCUAAUUUAUGUCACAGAGAAUGGAGUCUCCAGACGGGGAGACCCAGAAUUCAAUGACACCGACAGGGUCUAUUACCUCCGCAGCUACAUCAAUGAAGCCCUCAAAGGUAAGAGAUAAGGUGGACCUCCGGGGAUACACGGUGUGGAGCGUGAUGGACAACUUUGAAUGGGCCACAGGCUAUGCAGAGAGGUUCGGGGUGCACUAUGUGAACCGCUCUGACCCUUCUCUGCCAAGGAUCCCCAAGGCAUCGGCCAAGUUCUACGCCUCUGUAGUCCGCUGCAAUGGCUUUCCUGACCCUGCACAAGGACCUCAUCCUUGUCUCCACCAACCAGAGGAUGCUGGACCGACUGCCAGCCCUGUGAAGACAGAAGUGCCCUUCCUGGGGCUGAUGCUGGGUAUCACAGAAGCACAGACAGCCUUGUAUGUACUCUUCGCCCUCCUGCUACUUGGGGUCUGUAGCUUGGCAUUUCUGUUAUACAAAUACUGCAAGCGCUCCAAGCAAGGGGAAACACAGCCAAGCCAACACAACCUGAGUCCAAUUUCCUCCUUCUGACAAGUCACCACCUCCUCAGCUGUGUGGAGAUGCCUGGUUUCUUCAGAUAGGCCUGCUAGCACAGAGGACUCCUGCCCACAGUGGACCUCCUCAUCAAGGCUUCCUGCACUGUGGGAGACGAUUUCCAUCUUGAAGCUUUUCACAUUCUCAGUUGAAAUUAAAGCAUCUUCAGUACUGGGAAUUCUACUGUGGACUCUGAGACCUGCAAGGUAGCCCUGUGGAAAUGCAGAGACCCAACUGUCUAGCAGUUCUCUGCGUUCAUUUCAAGGUUUAAUGGUAGACUC